rnacentral:lncRNA from 1 species
GGGAAAUAACUCUCAUAUGGAGCGGUCAUAUCGCUUCAGUCAAAAUAGGACAAAUCAUGCGAAGGAUAUAACGAGCAAUUUUGUAAAAUAAAUUUGUCAUAAUCUUUAACGGUUGCGAAGGAGAUGCGAUAACAAGGAAAACAGUGUUUGGGGAGAUAACUCCUACAAAGAAAAGUAUUCAUUUACGCAGGGUAAAUUUCAAAAGCGCAUAAACUGUUCGAUAUCAUAUACAAAAUAUCUAAGCGACAUAUUGCGAAACAAAUGUUUAUCGCAAGAACAAAAUUAGGCGGAAGAAAAAAAAAAAAAUAAUCAGAAGAAAAACAAUAGGUCUUUCCACAGAAAAGUGGAAAGACCUAAUAAUCAGAAGAAAAACAAUAGGUCUUUCCACAGAAAAGUGGAAAGACCUAAUAAUCAGAAGAAAAACAAUAGGUCUUUCCACAGAAAAGUGGAAAGACCUAAUAAAUUUAC